GGAUGAACGCUGGCGGUAUGCUUAACACAUGCAAGUCGAACGGAAUACUUCGGUAUUUAGUGGCGGACGGGUGAGUAACGCGUAAGAAUCUGGCUCCAGGUUCGGGACAACAGAGGGAAACUUCUGCUAAUACCGGAUGUGCCGAGGUGAAAGCUUUAGUGCCUGGAGAUGAGCUUGCGUCUGAUUAGCUAGUUGGAGUGGUAACGGCACACCAAGGCGACAAUCAGUAACUGGUCUGAGAGGAUGACCAGUCACACUGGGACUGAGACACGGCCCAGACUCCUACGGGAGGCAGCAGUGGGGAAUUUUCCGCAAUGGGCGAAAGCCUGACGGAGCAAUACCGCGUGAGGGACGAAGGUCUGUGGAUUGUAAACCUCUUUUGUCAGGGACGAUAAUGACGGUACCUGACGAAUAAGCCUCGGCUAACUCCGUGCCAGCAGCCGCAGUAAGACGGAGGAGGCAAGCGUUAUCCGGAAUUAUUGGGCGUAAAGCGUACGCAGGUGGAUUGACAAGUCUUUUGUCAAAGACCAGGGCUCAACCUUGGGAAGGCAGGGGAAACUGUUAAUCUAGAGUGCGGUAGGGGCAGGAGGAAUUCCCGGUGUAGCGGUGAAAUGCGUAGAUAUCGGGAAGAACACCAGCGGCGAAAGCGUCCUGCUAGGCCGUAACUGACACUCAUGUACGAAAGCUAGGGGAGCGAAUGGGAUUAGAUACCCCAGUAGUCCUAGCCGUAAACGAUGGAUACUAGGUGUAGGGAGUAUCGACCCUCUCUGUGCCGUAGCUAACGCGUUAAGUAUCCCGCCUGGGGAGUACGGUCGCAAGAUUGAAACUCAAAGGAAUUGACGGGGGCCCGCACAAGCGGUGGAGUAUGUGGUUUAAUUCGAUGCAACGCGAAGAACCUUACCUGGGCUUGACAUGCACGGAUCAACUCCAUGAAAGUGGAGCCACAGUCGCAAGACCGGAACGUGCACAGGUGCUGCAUGGCUGUCGUCAGCUCGUGCUGUGAAGUGUCGGGUUAAGUCCCUUAACGAGCGCAACCCCUGUCGCUAGUUGCCAGCGCGUAAUGGCGGGGACUCUAGCGAGACUGCCGGUGUCAAACCGGAGGAAGGUGGGGAUGACGUCAAGUCCUCAUGGCCCUUACGUCCAGGGUGGCAAACGUGCUACAAUGGUGCAUACAAAGCGAUGCGAGACCGCGAGGUGGAGCAAAUCGCAAAAAAUGUACCCCAGUUCAGAUUGUAGUCUGCAACUCGACUACAUGAAGCCGGAAUCGCUAGUAAUCGCGGAUCAGCCAUGCCGCGGUGAAUAUGUUCCUGAGCCUUGUACACACCGCCCGUCAAGUCAUGGAAGCCGGGAGCGCCCGAAGCCGU
rnacentral:rRNA from 1 species